GGGGCUAUGGCGCAGCUGGUAGCGCAUCUGCUUUGCAAGCAGAGGGUCGCCGGUUCGAACCCGGCUAGCUCCACCU
rnacentral:tRNA from 1 species